rnacentral:rRNA from 1 species
UACGUAGGGGGCAAGCGUUGUCCGGAAUCAUUGGGCGUAAAGAGCGUGUAGGCGGCUAGGUAGGUCCGUUGUGAAAACUCGAGGCUCAACCUCGAGACGUCGAUGGAAACCAUCUAGCUAGAGUCCGGAAGAGGAGAAUGGAAUUCCUGGUGUAGCGGUGAAAUGCGCAGAUAUCAGGAAGAACACCCGUGGCGAAGGCGGGUUCUCCUGGAACGCAACUGACGCUGAGACGCGAAAGCGUGGGGAGCAAACAGG